rnacentral:snRNA from 1 species
UGUCCUCCAUAGGAGGUCUAUAUUGAGCAGAUUCUUUUUGGUAUUGGGUGGUGGAACCGGAGCGUGCUCCAUCCACUCCAUGCAUUGACCUAGUAUUGCAGUACUUCCAGGACCGGUGC